CGUGGUAAGUCAGAUGUGAAAUCCCGGGGCUCAACCCCGGAACUGCAUCCGAUACUGCCAUGCUAGAGGAUUGGAGAGGUAGCUGGAAUUCUUGGUGUAGCAGUGAAAUGCGUAGAGAUCAAGAGGAACACUCGUGGCGAAAGCGAGCUACUGGACAAUUCCUGACGCUGAGGCUCGAAGGCUAGGGUAGCGAAAGGGAUUAGAUACCCCUGUAGUCCUAGCAGUAAACGGUGCACGCUUGGUGUGAGGGGAAUCGACCCCCCUUGUGCCGGAGCUAACGCGUUAAGCGUGCCGCCUGGGAAGUACGGUCGCAAGACUAAAACUCAAAGAAAUUGACGGGGACCCGCACAAGCGGUGGAGUAUGUGGCUUAAUUCGAUGCAACGCGAAGAACCUUACCAAGGCUUGACAUGCAUCUCUAAACACGUGAAAGCGUGUGACCCUUCGGGGAAUUUGCACAGGUGCUGCAUGGCCGUCGUCAGCUCGUGUCGUGAGAUGUUGGGUUAAGUCCCGCAACGAGCGCAACCCUUGUGAUUAGUUGCCAGCACGUCAAGGUGGGAACUCUAGUCAGACUGCCCAGAUCAACUGGGAGGAAGGUGGGGACGACGUCAGGUCAGUAUGGCCCUUACGCCUUGGGCUGCACACGUACUACAAUGCCCAGCACAAUGAGAACCGAUACCGCGAGGUGGAGGAAAUCUGUAAAACUGGGCUCAGUUCGGAUUGGAGGCUGCAACUCGCCUCCAUGAAGUUGGAAUCG
rnacentral:rRNA from 1 species